UCUUCAUUAGUUAAUUGGUUGCAUCUGGUGCGUUUCACUUAAAAGGGAACUGGACAGUGCAUUUGUUUGUGUACUGUUUUGAUGAAGUCUGUUGUGACUUAUUUAACAUCUCUUCGAGUUUCCCAGGUUAAAGACUUUUUGAAGUAAAGAAGAGCAUCUCAUCUGAACCUGAUGUCUAUCAUGGAUAUUUAACUGCAGUUCUGUGAGUAUCCCAACUCUACCAUGAAGCAUAACUGCAAACUGUAAGUCAUUAAUUUCUCAUUACGCUUGGGCACAUUGAUGUAUUUUGGCUUCCUAGUGAAUUAACCUGUUACCUGAAGGUUGAUCUGAGUAGUAAGGAUGUUUUAUAUUGGUUCAUGGGUUACUUAGGUGUUUGGUUUAUAUUGGUAUUAAUGAUUUGUUAAAAUGGUUACAGGCUCCAAGUUAUUGUUGUAAGCUGGAGUAAUUGCUUGGGUUCUGAUAUCUUCAGUCUUUUUUCAUUCUACUCUCCUGAGCUCUGCAUCUUCAUCACAUGAGUGUUGCUUUACUGACACUGAGGGUGUGGUCUGAGUGAGCAGAGGUGCAUACUGGGAUACAGAGCUGUCUCGAGUCUACAGGUCUGUAGACACGGCCCCUCAGGGGAAACCGAGUGUUUGAGAAACUAUCGUGACGUCAGUUACAUGGACUGGAAUGUUCUUAAAGAUGGAGACAGGGAUUCAGAAGGAGAAACACCAGGGGGAGAUGAGGGGGCUCCUCAUCUCAACGACUGAAACACAACUUCAGUCUGACACAGAACCAUGGAACACAUUCAACAGUCCCCUCCAGGCAUCAUGACUCCUCAGGAACAGUCUCAUUUCCAAGAAGGUCUUAUUUGGGGCCAUCCCCAUAUGGAUCCUGCUCCUCAAGAGCCACCCCCCUCCACUGGGUGGUUUUCUGAACAGAUGACCUCCUUCCUGUCCUCAGGCUGACUAAAGCUGCACCGUUUGCAUCUGUGAAGGCCCCUCAUUCAGGAAACCACUGGACUUCAAAGACGUGACUUCAGAGAUGUUGAAUCAACACAUUGGGACACAUUUUGGAGACGCCAAGCAUAAUCCAUCACCAAUGUGGGACGCCACUGAAGAAUGUUGUACAUCAUUUACGUCUCUGGAGACAUUGGUUGUUCUGUUAUGGGUGCCCUGGCAGGAGAGCUGGGGGGGGGGAUGUUGGAAUGUUAUUUGCUAUGAGGUUUUUACCCUGCCUGAUUGUUUGGCCUUUUAUGGCUCAGUGGUGUGUGUGUGUGUGUGUGUGUUUGGGUUUGACAUGAGAUGGAAGAUUUUUGAUCAUCGCUAGGGUUUUACUGUGUGUGUGUGUGUCUCCCACUCACACCUGGCAUGCAGUUCUACGUGCCUGUCCUGGGUUCUAUGCGUGUGUGUCCGGCUUGCUUUGACAGUGAUAAUGUUCAUACGGGGGUCUGUGUGAUUGGCUUGGGAUAUUGGAAUGCUCAACUAAAUCAUACCUGAUGGACGGCCCACGCUUACUUAAGGGCCUCCAGUAGACAUGAAGAGCCCUGACCGACGCUCCGGAGCGAGACCCAACACACUGGGCAGGAAGGAGAGUAUCCAACUCAAGUGUAAAAGGAUGCAAGCGGCGUGUUCAGAUCAGUGACUUCAAACUAGGACUACACCAAUCAGGAUCAAUGGAGGAUGGACACCAAAAGGAAUUUCACAAGGAGAGUCUGACGUUGGAAAGGGACCUAAAUGGAUAUUCAAGAUGACCUUCAGACCUGUAAUGAGACGGCUCUUCCUACCUGGCUGGAUUGAUGGAGAGCCCUGUGGCUCUUGUCUUGCUCUCAGUUGCACAUCUUCUCAGGCUGAACUGUAUUUGUUUCGGACAGGACUAGCUGAACGAUUGGUUCCCUUAAAUCAGAACCAAUCCGGGAACUCCAGCUAGUGCGCUCUUCGAGCUGAAGUUGUGCUCUUCAGCUGAGGAGGUGAGGAAACCUUCACUGGGGCUUCAAGGUGUAAAGAGGAGAAUGUUUCAAAGUGUUCCAUGGUACUCUGAAGACCGUUGUGUUCCACUGGCUGCGAGGAAGAACCCACACAUCUUCCUCUUGGCCUUUCUCCUCUGAGAAUCCUGGCGCCAUCUUGAAGGAUAUUCCAGCUCAUGUAACUGUUGUCACGACAGCUUCUCAAACACUUGGUUUCUCCUGAGGGGCGUGUCUAUGGAACUGAAGACUUCAGACGGCACUGUAUCCCAGCAUGCAUCUCUGCUCACUCAGACCACACCCCCAUGAGUAGGAUGCAACACUCUAGUGAUAGAGAUGUAGAGUUUUAUAAGUAACGAGGGAGCAGACUAAGGUGAUUAGAACCCAAUGCAAUGUCAAGUCUGUAAAUCUUUGAUAUAACUUGUACACACUGGGUGCAUAAUAAUGUAAAGGCACACUGAAUAGUAGUAAUGACCAACAGCAACAAACAGAUCUCCUCAAGGUAAGUCUGUUGGCUGUAUUUUAAUGAAGACCAUCGCUGGACUUCAGGAUCUUCCUCCGUUCAGCUCAAGGUGAGGCGCUGGUUCUGUUUUUCUUUGGUUGGUUCCGGCCGGAAUGUUCGGAUUCCAGUCGGACGGUUUGUGCUUCCCGCCGUGGAAGGUUCUGAGUGCGGUCACUCGAUUUAGUCCCAAUGGUUAGCAUAGAACGUUGUAGUCUUGACAACCAUAAGAAACCACCUGGCAGUUAGUUGGACGGGAGUCCCCUGAGGAAAUCUGGCGGACUGUUUUGGAUUGUAUUUGCGUAACCUCGAGCCGUUGCCAACAGAAAAAAAAAUUCAGUCGGUUUCCAUUGGGAAUUGUUGCCCCUAUCUUAAACAACUUAAGUUUGAUAUUAAAUACUUACUCACACGUACGUCGUACAAUAUGUUGAUAAUUUCCGAUGGUUGCGCUGUACUUUUAACCACGAUGACGUGACGGGACUCUCACUGCGUAUAAAACAGCGUUCUACUUGCGGGCCCAUUUUUUACAUCAGGGAAGGCUGAAAAUCAUUUCAAGGUGGAAGAUAAUUUGACAUUUCUUCAACGGAACCCAGCACCUGAAUAUGGCUGAGUAUAUUUGAUUUAAUAUCGAUACUGCUUAGUGUUCUUUGUUACUUCAGCUUUUGUACGUUCUAAAUAUCUGCUGUCAUUAAUUGCCACAGAAGUUAAACCCUAUCCAAUGGAAUGACGUUAAACAACGACUUUGGUGCAGAGUUAACAACUGGAUAAUAUAAAAGCUAAAAUAAUGGCUGUCAUUCCCACAUGUUACAGUAGAAGAUUCUUUAGAACUGUACAAGGUUAAAAAGGUAACAUGUAGUUUGUCCCAAGGUGUCUGCCUCCUCACCCAGAGCCAGACCUCCACCUCCUCACCCAGAGCCAGACCUCCACCUCCUCACCCAGAGCCAGACCUCCACCUCCUCACCCAGAGCCAGACCUCCACCUCCUCACCCAGAGCCAGACCUCCACCUCCUCACCCAGAGCCAGACCUCCACCUCCUCACCCAGAGCCAGACCUCCACCUCCUCACCCAGAGCCAGACCUCCACCUCAUCACCCAGAGCCAGACCUCCACCUCCUCACCCAGAGCCAGACCUCCACCUCCUGUCAGAAGUUCUCCAGAACAGUGAAAAGGCGAGGCUGAGAGGCUGGGGACCGGAUGCUUGUGGUGCCAGGGUGGACCGGAGACUGAGGCUGGAGAUCAGGGGCCUGACGCACCGGACCAGAGGACCAGGACUCUGAGGAGAGCUGCUGGAGGAGCUGAGACGCUGGAGGACGACUAGGAAUCGACCAACCAGGACUCCUCAACGUGUUUCUGGAGCGGAGGCGAGAUGGUAGGGGAGCCGUGAAUCUGGAGGAUGACCAUCACUCUACCAACACGGAUUACUUUAGGGCCAGGCUCGCGCUGUUUGUUCCAGACCAGGACUCUGGCUGAGGAGAGCUGAUUGGGGAGCCAAGACUCGAGCCAAGAGGACGACAUCACUCCACCAACCAGGAUCCUCAGACAAAUUAUAUUUGUAACAAGACCAGGAAUCUGGAGGACUGAUGGAGAAGCCGUACAUCUGGAAGGCAAAUCCUGAGGACCACCAGGACUCUACCAUCAAGUUUACAUUAUCUGGACAUAGUGGACUAGACGCACCUGAGCUGAACCUCACCUGAUCCUGUUUGGUCGGGGGUAGACGCACCUGAGCUAAACCUGCCCUGAUCCUGUUGGUCCCGUCUACUCAGUUCAUCUGAGCCUCGUCCUCCAGAAGACCUGCUGAGCUCAGCAGUCUGAGGCUGAUGGAUCAAUGACCUCCAGUGGGAGUGAUCUUCUUGACCCCACAUAACGUGUUUCUGGAGCGGAGGCGAGCUGGUAGGGGAGCCGUGAAUCUGGAGGAUGACCAUCACUCUGCCAACAAGGAUUACUUUAGGGCCAGACUCGCGCUGUUUGUUCCAGACCAGGACACUGGCUGAGGAGAGCUGAUGGAGGAGCCAAGACUCGAGCCAAGAGGACGACAUCACUCCACCAACCAGGAUCCUCAGACAAAUUACGUUUGUAACAAGACCAGGAAUCUGGAGGACUGAUGGAGAAGCCGUACAUCUGGAAGGCAAAUCCUGAGGACCACCAGGACUCUACCAUCAAGGAUUCCUCAUAAGUUUGCAUUAUCUGGACAUAGUGGACUAGACGCACCUGAGCUGAACCUCACCUGAUCCUGUUUGGUCGGGGGUAGACACACCUGAGCUAAACCCGCCCUGAUCCUGACAUGCUGCUGGUCCCGUCUCCUCAGUUCAUCUAAGCCUCGUCCUCCAGAAGACCUGCUGAGCUCAGCAGUCUGAGGCUGAUGGAUCAAUGACCUCCAGUGGGAGUGAUCUUCUUGACCCCACAUGUAACCAUGUGCUUCCACACACCUUUCCCUCACGUCUGUCACUAACCUCACUACUUCACUACUCUCUACUGCUUCCUCUUUUCUUCCUUCUCUGUGGUUCAAACCGUUACACUGAAGGCGCGUCUUCCUGCCCUCAGAGGGUUUAGCGUUAGGGUUGAGAGUCAGGGUUUAGAGUCAGGGACAGAGCUGGUUAGGGAGGACUGCUUUUACACAAACCUCUUCACUUGCUUUUCGGAAUGGUGGUGACAUUUUGAAAAGAUUAAUUUGAGAAAAUGUUUUCCUCUGCUUUGCUUUACAAAAUUGUAUUAAACUUCUGUCAAGUGUUUUUGUUUAUAUAUUAAAAUCCCAC